rnacentral:rRNA from 1 species
UAACGCGUGGGCAACCUGCCUCGUACAGGGGGAUAACAGUUAGAAAUGACUGCUAAUACCGCAUGAGCGCACAGUGCUGCAUGGCACAGUGUGAAAAACUCCGGUGGUAUGAGAUGGACCCGCGUCUGAUUAGCUAGUUGGUGGGGUAACGGCCUACCAAGGCGACGAUCAGUAGCCGGCCUGAGAGGGUGAACGGCCACAUUGGGACUGAGACACGGCCCAA